rnacentral:rRNA from 1 species
CCUACGGGUGGCAGCAGUAGGGAAUUUUCGGCAAUGGGGGGAACCCUGACCGAGCAACGCCGCGUGAGUGAAGAAGUUUUUCGGAAUGUAAAGCUCUGUUGUAAGGGAAGAAGAGAUAUGGAGGACCAUAUUGUGACGGUACCUUACGAGGAAGCCACGGCUAACUACGUGCCAGCAGCCGCGGUAAUACGUAGGUGGCGAGCGUUAUCCGGAAUUAUUGGGCGUAAAGGGUGCGUAGGCGGCCGUUUAAGUUCAAGGUGAAAGCGUGGGGCUCAACCCCAUAAAGCCUUGGAUACUGGGCGGCUGGAGUACUGGAGAGGGUAGUGGAAUUCCAUGUGUAGCGGUAAAAUGCGUAGAUAUAUGGAGGAACACCGGAGGCGAAGGCGGCUACCUGGACAGUAACUGACGCUGAGGCACGAAAGCGUGGGGAGCAAAUAGGAUUAGAUACCCCAGUAGUC